rnacentral:rRNA from 1 species
AGUCUGCAACUCGACUGCGUGAAGGUGGAGUCGCUAGUAAUCGCGGAUCAGCAUGCCGCGGUGAAUACGUUCCCGGGCCUUGUACACACCGCCCGUCACACCAUGGGAGUUUGUAACGCCCAAAGUCGGUGGCCUAACCUUUAUGGAGGGAGCCGCCUAAGGCGGGACAGAUGACUGGGGUGAAGUCGUAACAAGGUACC